rnacentral:rRNA from 1 species
CCCCUGCAACUGUUUAUUAAAAACAUAGCACUCUGCAAACACGAAAGUGGACGUAUAGGGUGUGAUGCCUGCCCGGUGCUGGAAGGUUAAUUGAUGGGGUUAGCGUAAGCGAAGCUCUURAUCGAAGCCCCRGUAAACGGCGGCCGUAACUAUAACGGUCCUAAGGUAGCGAAAUUCCUUGUCGRGUAAGUUCCGACCUGCACGAAUGGCRUAAYGAUGGCCACGCUGUCUCCACCCCACUCUCAGYGAAAUYGAAWUCGCYGUGAAGAUGCRGAGUACCCGCGGCUAGACGGAAAGACCCCGUGAACCUUUACUACAGCUUGGCACUGAACAUUGARCCUACAUGUGUAGGAUAGGUGGGAGGCUUYGAAGKMRUSACGCCAGUKGYKMUGGAGCCGWCCUUGAAAUACCACCCUUGUAUGUUUGAUGUUCUAACUUGGUCCCCUUAUCGGGGAUGAGGACAGUGCCUGGUGGGUAGUUUGACUGGGGCGGUCUCCUCCCAAAGAGUAACGGAGGAGCACGAAGGUGGGCUA